UGGCCCAAUGAUGAUCAAAAGUUGCGCUUAGAGAGAACAGGACUAACUUUUCAAGGUCCAGGCAUUUCUGUGCUUUUGCCUUUCUCCUCUUUUUUUCUCUUCUUCCUUUCUUUUAAGUCUUUUUUUCUUUCUUUUCCUGCCUAGACUGAGAUUGUGUGUCCUUCUCAAUGACGGGUAAGAUUAUGAGAUCUGAGGGCUA